GCCGCCGUGGUGUAGUGGUAAAACACGUCUGGCCCGCCUUGUCAGAAGACGUGGGUUCAAAUCCCUUCAGUGGCG